rnacentral:ncRNA from 1 species
AUUUAAGUGCCGCCCGGGAUGGGGCGGAGAAUAGGGAACCCGGUGUGAAUCCGGGGCGGUACCGCCACUGUCAGUGCGGAGGCGGCGCGCCAGGGGGCAUGGCCCCGGCCAUUGGAGCGAUCCGAGAAGGCGGCGCGUCGUUCGGUGAUGCAUGAGCCAGGAGACCUGCUUAAA